AAAACUUUAAAUAGUCACAAAUUGUGAACAUGUUGUAAAGUGCUCCACUAGGAGGCAGUGCAGCAUUCUCACCCGAGCAUGAAGCUGACUUUUGGUGUUGCUUUCCUGCAACUGCUAUUUGCCAUUGAUGAUUGUUCUUCUCUUCCUCUGGGAGAGUGAGGGAGAGGACGCAGCCUGAGUGGU
rnacentral:snoRNA from 1 species